rnacentral:rRNA from 1 species
UGCCAGACUCCUACGGGAGGCAGCAGUGGGGAAUAUUGGGCAAUGGGCGCAAGCCUGACCCAGCAACGCCGCGUGAAGGAAGAAGGCUUUCGGGUUGUAAACUUCUUUUAAGAGGGAAGAGUAGAAGACGGUACCUCUUGAAUAAGCCACGGCUAACUACGUGCCAGCAGCCGCGGUAAUACGUAGGUGGCAAGCGUUGUCCGGAUUUACUGGGUGUAAAGGGAGCGUAGACGGCAUGGCAAGCCAGAUGUGAAAUACCGGGGCUCAACCCCGGGACUGCAUUUGGAACUGUGCAGCUAGAGUGUCGGAGAGGCAGGCGGAAUUCCUAGUGUAGCGGUGAAAUGCGUAGAUAUUAGGAGGAACACCAGUGGCGAAGGCGGUCUGCUGGACAGCAACUGACGGUGAGGCGCGAAAGCGUGGGGAGCAAACAGGAUUAGAUACCCGGGUA